rnacentral:rRNA from 1 species
AUUGAACGCUGGCGGCAGGCCUAACACAUGCAAGUCGAACGAGUGGCGGACGGGUGAGUAAUGUCUGGGAAACUGCCCGAUGGGGGGGGAUAACUACUGGAAACGGUAUCUAAUACCGCAUACCAUCGGAUGUGCGCAGAUGGGAUUAGCUAGUAGGUGGGGUAACGGCUCACCUAGGCGACGAUCCCUAGCUGGUCUGAGAGGAUGACCAGCCACACUGGAACUGAGACACGGUCCAGACUCCUACGGGAGGCAGCAGUGGGGAAUAUUGCACAAUGGGCGCAAGCCUGAUGCAGCAAUGCCGCGUGUAUGAAGAAGGCCUUCGGGUUGUAAAGUACUUUCAGCGAGGAGGCGUUACUCGCAGAAGAAGCACCGGCUAACUCCGUGCCAGCAGCCGCGGUAAUAC